AGCUAAACAACAAGAUCAGGGUGGCGAUGGUCAGUUCUUGAGCUUCGAACGGGCAGAAAGCUAAACAACAAGAUCAGAGUGGCGAUGGUCAGUUCUUGAGCUUCGAACGGGCAGAAAGCUAAACAACAAGAUCAGGGUGGCCACAGUCAGUUCUUGAGCUUCGAACGGGCAGAAAGCUAAACAACAAGAUCAGGGUGGAGAUGGUCAGUUCUUGAGCUUCGAACGGGCAGAAAGCUAAGCAACAAGAUCAGGGUGGCGAUGGUCAGUUCUUGAGCUUCGAACGGGCAGAAAG